rnacentral:rRNA from 1 species
UGGGGAAUUUUCCGCAAUGGGCGAAAGCCUGACGGAGCGACGCCGCGUGGAGGAUGACGGUCUUCGGAUUGUAAACUCCUGUCAAGGGGGACGAUAAUGACGGUACCCCUGGAGGAAGCAUCGGCUAACUACGUGCCAGCAGCCGCGGUAAGACGUAGGAUGCGAGCGUUGUUCGGAUUUAUUGGGCGUAAAGCGUGCGUAGGCGGCUGUUUAAGUCUGGUGUUAAAGCUAGGGGCUCAACCCCUGUGAUGCACUGGAAACUGGGCAGCUUGAGUGUGGUAGGGGAAGGUGGAAUUCCUAGUGUAGCGGUGAAAUGCGUAGAUAUUAGGAAGAACACCGGUGGCGAAGGCGACCUUCUGGGCCACUACUGACGCUGAGGCACGAAAGCGUGGGGAGCAAACAGG